AACAGGAUUAGAUACCCUGGUAGUCCACGCCGUAAACGAUGUCGACUUGGAGGUUGUGCCCUUGAGGCGUGGCUUCCGGAGCUAACGCGUUAAGUCGACCGCCUGGGGAGUACGGCCGCAAGGUUAAAACUCAAAUGAAUUGACGGGGGCCCGCACAAGCGGUGGAGCAUGUGGUUUAAUUCGAUGCAACGCGAAGAACCUUACCUGGCCUUGACAUCCACAGAACUUUCCAGAGAUGGAUUGGUGCCUUCGGGAACUGUGAGACAGGUGCUGCAUGGCUGUCGUCAGCUCGUGUUGUGAAAUGUUGGGUUAAGUCCCGCAACGAGCGCAACCCUUAUCCUUUGUUGCCAGCGAUUCGGUCGGGAACUCAAAGGAGACUGCCGGUGAUAAACCGGAGGAAGGUGGGGAUGACGUCAAGUCAUCAUGGCCCUUACGGCCAGGGCUACACACGUGCUACAAUGGCGCAUACAAAGAGAAGCGACCUCGCGAGAGCAAGCGGACCUCACAAAGUGCGUCGUAGUCCGGAUCGGAGUCUGCAACUCGACUCCGUGAAGUCGGAAUCGCUAGUAAUCGUGGAUCAGAAUGCCACGGUGAAUACGUUCCCGGGCCUUGUACACACCGCCCGUCACACCAUGGGAGUGGGUUGCAAAAGAAGUAGGUAGCUUAACCUUCGGGAGGGCGCUUACCACUUUGUGAUUCAUGACUGGGGUGAAGUCGUAACAAGGUAACC
rnacentral:rRNA from 1 species